rnacentral:sRNA from 1 species
UAGAGAUUGUUAUUUGAAAUAAGUUGGUUAAAAAUAAAUCACUUCCCCCAUAGAAAUAUUUUUAAUCACUUAAGACGAAUAAACACUCCUUAAAUAUAGUUGUAGCACAGAAUUU